rnacentral:rRNA from 1 species
AUUGAACGCUGGCGGCAUGCUUUACACAUGCAAGUCGAACGGCAGCGGGGAGGAGCUUGCUUCUCUGCCGGCGAGUGGCGAACGGGUGAGUAAUACAUCGGAACGUGUCGAGAAGAGGGGGAUAACCACCCGAAAGGGUGUCUAAUACCGCAUAAAUUCUGAGGAAGAAAGCUGGGGACCUAGGAAUAGGCCUAGCGCUUUUUGAGCGGCCGAUGUCGGAUUAGCUAGUUGGUGAGGUAAAGGCUCACCAAGGCGAAGAUCUGUAGCGGGUCUGAGAGGAUGAUCCGCCACAAUGGGACUGAGACACGGCCCAGACUCCUACGGGAGGCAGCAGUGGGGAAUUUUGGACAAUGGGGGCAACCCUGAUCCAGCCAUGCCGCGUGUAUGAAGAAGGCCUUAGGGUUGUAAAGUACUUUUGUUAGGGAAGAAAAGUCAGCUGUGAAUAAUGGCUGAUACUGACGGUACCUAAAGAAUAAGCACCGGCUAACUACGUG